rnacentral:rRNA from 1 species
GGAUGAACGCUGGCGGCGUGCCUACUCCAUGCAAGUCGAGCGAACAGACGAGGAGCUUGCUCCUCUGACGUUAGCGGCGGACGGGUGAGUAACACGUGGAUAACCUACCUAUAAGACUGGGAUAACUUCGGGAAACCGGAGCUAAUACCGGAUAAUAUAUUGAACCGCAUGGUUCAAUAGUGAAAGACGGUUUUGCUGUCACUUAUAGAUGGAUCCGCGCCGCAUUAGCUAGUUGGUAAGGUAACAGCUUACCAAGGCAACGAUGCGUAGCCGACCUGAGAGGGUGAUCGGCCACACUGGAACUGAGACACGGUCCAGACUCCUACGGGAGGCAGCAGUAGGGAAUCUUCCGCAAUGGGCGAAAGCCUGACGGAGCAACGCCGCGUGAGUGAUGAAGGUCUUCGGAUCGUAAAACUCUGUUAUUAGGGAAGAACAAAUGUGUAAGUAACUAUGCACGUCUUGACGGUACCUAAUCAGAAAGCCACGGCUAACUACGUG